ensembl:lncRNA
GUCCCGGACUCCGCCCGGCCCAUUGACCCAGUGGCUCCACCUUGGCUCCUAGCUCCCUCAUCUCCACCGUGGCCCGUCAGUCCACAGCUCCGCCGGGCUCCCUCAUCCCUCCGGCUCUGCCUUUGUCUGUCGUUGACCAUCCUCCACCUCGGGACUCCACUCCAGCUUCACCUCAUCCCUCUGUCCCUCUGUCCCUCUGGCUCUGUCAGGCUCUUCCUGCCCUCUGGCUCCAUCUCAGUCCUCUGUCACUCCAGCUCCACUGUGGCCUUACAGAUCCCCGCCUCCGCCUCAGUCGCUGGCGCCAUCUUUUCCGCCUUGGCCCUCCGGAUCCUCGGUGUCGCCCUGGGCCAUCAGCUCUCCAUCUCUGCCUUGGGCUCCUCCUCCACCUGCUCCACCGCCAUCGGUCAGCCCCCUGGCAUUGUCAGCCCUUCCUUCACUAUGGCUCCUCCCUCCCUCAGCUCCACCGUGGGCCGCCAUCAUGGCUGUGGCCUGGGUCCCGCCUGGCUCCUCCUGCUCCAGGUUCCUCCUGUCUCCUUCCUGGCUCCUCCCUCCGUGGUUUCUGUCCGCUGGCCCCCUCUCAUGUUUAUUGUGUCAUUGUGUUCAGAUUCCCCAGUGAUGAUCUCCUGUGAUACUCCUAUGCUGACAUUCCUUGUGUUACUCUCCAGAGCUCUGGGAAUUUUAAUUGCAAUGACUUACCAUUACAUUGUCACGUAUCAACUUGUAAAUAAACUGUUCACUUGCACUAAACCCUCUGCCUUCAUCCUGGUUUGUGACAGGUCAUAUUCAAAUAUGCCAGUGUUAUUAAAGACAUUUACACUUAAAGACAUUGACAAUUGGACUUCAUUGGCCUUAAUUUAUUUUUAAACAUGCACACACACACACACACACACACACACACACACACACACACACACACACACAUAUAUAUAUAUAUAUAUAUAUAAUGCAAAUACUAUUUGGAGAUUGUUUAAGUGGGAUGAGAUUCUGCUGUCAUUUCAGAGAGGUGAUAAAGUUUUUAUUAUUUUUUUCUUUUUCUUUUUUUUUUUGCCAGUGAUCCUAGUGACUAUAACACAUGUGCUUUAAAAGAGGGAACAGAAGAACAAGAGAUGACAGGAAAUGUUAAAAGUGCAGAUGAGCCUAACCUGGCUACUUCCGUCCAAUAAGGAGUGGCAUUUGUGAAGCGCAGAUGCUUUAGCAAGACUCCGGACUCCUCGUGUGGCACAGAUACUGCCCUUUCUACCCUGCUUUGUACUGCUAGUCUGACGGGAUCAAAAUAAGUAUUGUUUAAGGCUUCAGAGCACUUCUGACAUGAACAUGAAAGACCAAACCACCAGUGGGUUACUGUCAAUUUAGUUUGGUUUAUGGCUGAGUGAAGUCCUCUAUGAUUAAGGAAUGUGAACAUUGUUUAAAACCAAAUUCAGACUUUUGUCAUAUUAGGUGGUGGUGUAUUUAGAAGACAACAACCAUGCAGCUAUAUUGUAACACCAGAGCAAGGAAAAGUCAGCGUGGACCGAUACUAAUCUAAAAUAUAUUUAAUAAGUAGUGUACUGUAUUAGUAUAAUUUACUGUACAAAUCUUUACAUAUCCUGGUUUUAAUGAGGGAACCUUUAACAGGGAACUGUAACAGGUGACCAAGUUAAUAUAUAACCAUAUCAUUUCAUUUAUCAGUAAAUGAUAAAGAAACUUUGCCCAAAGAAAGUAAGUAAUAGUAAGAAGUAAGAAAUUAAUAGUUAGUAACUGUUUAAAGUAGAGUUAAUCCCUAAAGUGUUACCAAAUUAUUAUAUAAUUGCUGUUAAAUAAAUAAAUAAAUAAAUAAAUAAAACUGAUACAAUUUAUAGUAACUAUAAAAAAAUUCUAAGUCUGUCUGAGAUUUUUUUUUAUUUUUUUUUAUUUUUUAUUUAUUAUUAUUUAUUUUUUUUUAUCAGACUGCAAGGAAUUUGAAAUUAGACUUCUUUGAAAUAAGGUCAUUUCAAUGACUGACUAAUAACCUUUUCAUUGCUAUUGAAAUGAAAAUGUUGAACCUAAACAUAGGAGCCUAAUAAAAAUGCUCAUUAAAAAUAAAUAAAUAAAUAAAUAAAUUCUCAGACAGACUUAA